rnacentral:rRNA from 1 species
AUUUACAGCUACAAGUUCACAGUCAACUACCGUACAACGACUUCGAUUCAUAACCAC